rnacentral:rRNA from 1 species
GUAGCGAAUACGGAUUGGUGAGAGUGGCGGAAAGGCGAGGAACACGUGAGCAACCUGUCCUUGAGGUGGGAAAACCGUUGGAAACGACGGCUAAUACCGAAUGUGGCGCCCGGAGACAUCUCCGGAGCGCUAAAGGGGGCCGGCAAGGCUCUCCCUCUUCGAGGGGCUCGCGCACCAUCAGCUUGUUGGCGGGGUAACGGCCCACCAAGGCUUACGGUUAGCUGGUCUGAGAGGAUGGCCAGCCGCACUGGGACUGAGAUACUGCCCAGACUCCUACGGGAGGCUGCAGUCGAGGAUCAUUCGCAAUGGGGGAAACCCUGACGAUGCGACGCUGCGUGGAGGAUGAAAAGGCCUUCGGGUUGUAAACUCCUGUCAUGAUGGAAAAGGAGAGGGGACCCAACACGUCCCUUAUUUGAUGGUACAUCAAGAGGAAGAGACGGCUAACUCUGUGCCAGCAGCGGC